GCCCUACGGGACGCAGCAGUAGGGAAUUUUCGUCAAUGGGCGCAAGCCUGACGCAGCGACGCCGCGUGAGGGAUGAAGGUCCUCGGAUCGUAAACCUCUGUCAGCAGGGAAGAACGGUCACUGUGCUAAUCAGCAGUGAAUUGACGGUACCUGCAAAGGAAGCACCGGCUAACUCCGUGCCAGCAGCCGCGGUAUACGGAGGGUGCGAGCGUUAAUCGGAAUUACUGGGCGUAAAGCGCUCGUAGGCGGUAUGUCAAGUCAAGGGUGAAAUCCCCGCGCUCAACGUGGGAACUGCCUUUGAAACU
rnacentral:rRNA from 1 species